AUUUUGCCGGAGAAGAACCAGAGCUGCUGCUGCUACUGCUUUCUCCAUUGGUUGUAACAUCGGAUUGAGCUGAAGCUGAGGAGUUCAUAGAACUCUGGUUGGUAUUUGUGGAUGGUGCUUGUCCUUCUUCAGCGAGUUUCUUAAGGAGGUUCAUGACCGUUGGAAGGAACUUGGUUGACAAGGAAAGAAGUCCAGGUAGCUGUUAUUGAUCACAGAUGAAACAUUGGCUUUUCAGAGACAUUAUAAAUGAGAAUAAUUUGAAGAACAGUGGCAAUACGGAUGUUGGAAACUUGCUCAUACCGCUCCAUGUUGGAAUUCUCCUGAAAUAUUUAACUGCACCCACAAGGCUUUGGAAACAAGGUAUCCAACGAACAGAACACCGAGCCACAGAGGAUUUCUGCCACAAGAGAAGCAAGGAAAGAAGAGAAAGGUGAGUGGGGAGAAUCUCCUUGAUCUGAAAAACAAACUCAAUUCAAAAGAAUGGGUAAAGAGUACCUUAAUAGAGUCAUAAACUCAUUAAAUCCAAGAACUACCAGGGCAAGGAUUGCCCAUGGAGGUGGCAACCAGUUGUUAUUCCGUCGGUUAGCUUCCUGAAAUUCAAUGUUACCAUAUGAGAAAACAGAGAGUUCUAAUAACAUAUCUUUGACCUCUUCUGUAAGAAAAUUCCUGCAUCAAUCAAGUUGUGACAGUUGAGAACAAAAGCACCAUCCUCUCUUGAUGCAAUGGAUCAUUUCAACUUUCUUCUAACCAUUUUUUCAGUUACCUAAUUUCUAAAUGGCUAUUGCUAAGAAACGCAGUGAGGUGUAGGAGACAUGCAACUUACUGAAUGUAUCUUUGUUCCUCUUUUGGUGAAAGCUAUCAUCCGUUUCUCUCCCUCCUAAUAUAAAAAAUAGACAUAUAUACAUGUCAAGUCAAAUCAGACAUAUCCAGGGAACUGAAAGUAGUAGUGUUGAGGUGAUGGAGAAACCUGUUUCCUGAAAUAUUCUUGAAACUCAGCCCAUGAGCUGUGCGCUUUGACAACCACAAAGCUAAAUGCUUUAAGUUAAGGGGCAUGAAUCUCACAACCUCUAACCAUUAAUAGUAACAAAUGAUAUGCUUAUGCAAGGGAAGGAACCAAAACAAAAAGAACAUAGUUUAAGUGUGUAUAGAAGAAACUAAAACUAGGUUGGGGGAUACGGCCAAUAAUCCAAACCAGCUCGCUUUACUUUGGCGUCAUCCACUUGAAAACCUAAUGGCUGAAGCAGGAGAGAUCAGAUAAACACUUGGCAACAAUGAAUCAAUUAUAUAAGGGGAUAACAUGAAUGCACCCCGACUAAAUGCAGUCCAACAGCUGAAGCAGCACAUGUUCUUGCAAUGCAACCUGUGUUUCCAGGAAUCUGUCAAAGGAAGGAGCAACGAGUAUAUAUCUAUAUAAGCCACAAGUGUCUGAAGACGCCACUACCAAACCAAAACAAUGCAGUAGUAACGUUUAUGUGUUCAGUGUUUCUUGGUGAUUGAGCCUAACCUGGGGAGAGACCAAGACUACUUGAAGAAGCUUACUCCUCGCAUCUUCUUUAACUCCUUCUCCUGCCCCACGCGGCAGGGCAUUACUUCUCUUGUCCUUGUCCGAGAGAGGAGGAGGAGGAGGAGACAGAAUCUUGGUGGAAAAUGAAGUGAUGGAGAGAGACAGCCUGCGCUUAAGGUUGAGAUGAGUUAAGCCAAGAGAAGGCAAGAGGCGGUCACUUGACUGUUGCCGGAGAUGAAACGGCCUUGAAGCUAUAAAGAAGCUCAGACUGCUCCGGCCGCAACUCCCCAUACUUCCCCAGCCAACCUACUUCCUUCCUUCCUCCGCAGAUAAUGUUGCUUACAGCACGCUUUGAAACAAAUAUCAUUUGGGCCCAAAUUGCCAAUAUGUAGGCCCAUUUAUUAUUCAGACCUUUCCCCAUGCCUGGUCUGAUCUCAUGCCUAGUUCAUGUCCGAGACCAAUCUUUAAUGUUUCAAGUUGAUAACUGAGUGAAACACCCUGCAUUACCAUAGCACUGAGAAACUGAAACUCCCUUCAAUCAACAAACCAAUCUUUUACGUUUCACCAUUCUUUCAUCAGAUACAAUAAACCACAUUAAUACAGAACUCGCAAACAAACCAGGAGUAUAUUUUUUUUUGUCUGCAUCAUGUCUAGGUACAUACAAGAUAGGCACAAAUGCCUUAAGAGACAUAAACAUAUGGCCCUCGGUGAACCCCUCUGAUCAACACCAAAAUUGAGAGCUAUCCUUUUGUAAGGGUACCGAAAUUUAAAGUGUCUAGGUUCGUGGACUCGGACAAACAACAGCUUAAGCUUGUCUAGUUCUUUGUUCUAUGAACUUGUGUCAAUGGGAACAGAUUUUGCCGGAGAAGAACCAGAGCUGCUGCUGCUACUGCUUUCUCCAUUGGUUGUAACAUCGGAUUGAGCUGAAGCUGAGGAGUUCAUAGAACUCUGGUUGGUAUUUGUGGAUGGUGCUUGUCCUUCUUCAGCGAGUUUCUUAAGGAGGUUCAUGACCGUUGGAAGGAACUUGGUUGACAAGGAAAGAAGUCCAGGUAGCUGUUAUUGAUCACAGAUGAAACAUUGGCUUUUCAGAGACAUUAUAAAUGAGAAUAAUUUGAAGAACAGUGGCAAUACGGAUGUUGGAAACUUGCUCAUACCGCUCCAUGUUGGAAUUCUCC
rnacentral:lncRNA from 1 species